GACGAACGCUGGCGGCGUGCUUAACACAUGCAAGUCGAACGGAAAGGCCUGCUUUCCCUUGUGGAUUGCGGGUACUCGAGUGGCGAACGGGUGAGUAACACGUGAGUGAUCUGCCCCCAACUUGGGUAUAAGCCUGGGAAACUGGGUCUAAUUCCCGAUAGGACUGCAGGGUGGUGCCUGUGGUGGAAAACGAUCUUCUAGUGGUUGGGGGUGAGCUCGCGGCCUAUCAGCUUGUUGGUGGGGUAAUGGCCUACCAAGGCGGCGACGGGUAGCCGGCCUGAGAGGGUGGACGGCCACAUUGGGACUGAGAUACGGCCCAGACUCCUACGGGAGGCAGCAGUGGGGAAUAUUGCACAAUGGGCGGAAGCCCGAUGCAGCGACGCCGCGUGGGGGAUGACGGCCUUCGGGUUGUAAACUCCUUUCGACCGCGAGGAAGCCACCUGGUUGGAAGGGUGGUGACGGUAGUGGUAGAAGAAGCACCGGCUAACUACGUG
rnacentral:rRNA from 1 species